GACGAACGCUGGCGGCGUGCUUAACACAUGCAAGUCGAACGGAAAGGCCCCCUUGUGGGGUACUCGAGUGGCGAACGGGUGAGUAACACGUGAGUAACCUACCCUUGACUUUGGGAUAACUUCAGGAAACUGGGGCUAAUACCGGAUAGGAGCUCCUGCUGCAUGGUGGGGGUUGGAAAGUUUCGGCGGUUGGGGAUGGACUCGCGGCUUAUCAGCUUGUUGGUGGGGUAGUGGCUCACCAAGGCUUUGACGGGUAGCCGGCCUGAGAGGGUGACCGGCCACAUUGGGACUGAGAUACGGCCCAGACUCCUACGGGAGGCAGCAGUGGGGAAUAUUGCACAAUGGGCGGAAGCCUGACGCAGCAACGCCGCGUGCGGGAUGACGGCCUUCGGGUUGUAAACCGCUUUCGCCUGUGACGAAGCGUGAGUGGCGGUAAUGGGUAAAGAAGCACCGGCUAACUACGUG
rnacentral:rRNA from 1 species